AAGUGAUGCGUUGUUUGCAUAAAUUCAAAAGUGUUGAUGUCUUUGUCAACGUCAAAUCUACCUUUAAAAUUAUUUUCACAAACGUUUUCUUAAACCAUUUUUGGCUUGAUUAAGGAAUUUACAUCUGGGUAUGUAUGCAUGUCACUAUCCAGUUUUAUUUCAAGAUUUCUUGCCAAUAGAGAAAGAGCCAGUUUGUAACCUUGAUCCAAAGCUUCUUCAGUCGCAUUUCAACAUCAACAGGGUAAUAAAAUUGAUGGACGGAUACCUAGGGAAAAAGCUCAACUUCUAACGUAAAUAACACACGGCUGAAUCAUACCAGUAUAUUACUGAUAUAUAUUUACAUAGGACCUCUGAAAAAUGAAGCGAGAUAUUAGAACUAAGAAAUACGAAACUGAAAACUGCAAAUCUGUUAUUCGCGAAUGAGAUUUCUAACCCCCAAUCCAUUUUAUGAAUAUCGAUGUUAAAAAAAAAUAUACCCUAACAACCGAACAAAACAAAACAAAAUAAACAAAACGAAUAAAUAAAUAAAAGAAGACUAUUGCAGUUGAGAGAAUUUAGCAGAAAGUAUUCAGCGUUUUGCAGUUAAUUCUCUGUUCUAACGCCAAGCAAUUCUUUUCCUGCCGCCAUCACGUUUUUUGUAUAAAGCAGACGAUCCUGUCUUUGCUGGCAUUAGCUAACGCUUACAACUCACUGUUAUAUUACUACACCUAUCAAUAACUCCACUACUACUACUACUAUUACUACUACUACUACUACUACUACUACUACUACUACUACUACUACUACUACUACUACUACUACUACUGCCAUCACUUACCAAUAAAGGAAACCAGGAAGCAAAGCAAAAUUACUGGCCUGUUAAAGGCGAUACGAAUCCUCGGUUCUGCAACGAAACAGCGGACAAACCUUUGACUUACUGGAAGCAAUUGGAUCAAAGAAAUAGUUACACUAAAAAAACAAGGCCAGCGGCUCCGAGAAAACUGAAAAAUUUCUAGGUUUUUACUGAAUGAAAAGCUUUGUUACUGGAUUACAUUACAAACAAACUCCGGAGCUUCGGAAGUCCAUCCACAAACCUGGGACCGACGGAAGGAACCACCGUUUGGUAUUGAUACCAAGGAAAAAAGUCAGGGAAGCCAAUACAGUUUCUACUUUUGGCCAUGAACACCCUUUCGCUGUUUAUAAUCCUCAUUAUAUGUAAGUCAGUUACUUGUCUGUGUUAGACAUACAAUCCUCUUGUUGUUAACGUCCCUUGAUAUUUGUCGCCCCCUCCUCACCUCACCGUUCGUUCGCUUGAAACACCCGCAUUGCCUGACUGGUUGAAGGCUGUGAAUGCUUGACGACAUUCCAGAUGCAAACAAACGAAAACGAAAGUAGACCAAAUUUCAGGGCAAAAAUGAAGUAAAUGACAAAACACAACAAAACCAAAUUCAAAACUACAGAAAGACUUGACUAGCAAGAACCAAACCAGAACAGCACGGCAAAAACAUAGAUAAAAAGAGAAUGUAAGGAAAAUUUACAAAGAAAAAUUCUAACGAUGGUGGAAUUCACGAACGUGAUAAUCUAAAGGUAGAAA